rnacentral:rRNA from 1 species
CCUACGGGAGGCAGCAGAGGGGAAUAUUGGACAAUGGGGGCAACCCUGAUCCAGCCAUGCCGCGUGUGUGAAGAAGGCCCUCGGGUUGUAAAGCACUUUCAGUGAGGAAGAACGCCUGGUGGUUAAUACCCAUCAGGAAAGACAUCACUCACAGAAGAAGCACCGGCUAACUCCGUGCCAGCAGCCGCGGUAAUACGGAGGGUGCGAGCGUUAAUCGGAAUUACUGGGCGUAAAGCGCGCGUAGGUGGCUUGAUAAGCCGGUUGUGAAAGCCCCGGGCUCAACCUGGGAACGGCAUCCGGAACUGUCAAGCUAGAGUGCAGGAGAGGAAGGUAGAAUUCCCGGUGUAGCGGUGAAAUGCGUAGAGAUCGGGAGGAAUGCCAGUGGCGAAGGCGGCCUUCUGGACUGACACUGACACUGAGGUGCGAAAGCGUGGGUAGCAAACAGGAUUAGAUACCCUAGUAGUC